rnacentral:rRNA from 1 species
UAGGGAAUCUUCCACAAUGGACGCAAGUCUGAUGGAGCAACGCCGCGUGAGUGAAGAAGGCUUUCGGGUCGUAAAACUCUGUUAUUGAAGAAGAACGUGUGUGACAGUAACUGGUCAUGCAGUGACGGUAUUCAAUCAGAAAGUCACGGCUAACUACGUGCCAGCAGCCGCGGUAAUACGUAGGUGGCAAGCGUUGUCCGGAUUUAUUGGGCGUAAAGCGAGUGCAGGCGGUCUUUUAAGUCUGAUGUGAAAGCCUUCGGCUUAACCGAAGAAGGGCAUCGGAAACUGGGAGACUUGAGUGCAGAAGAGGAGAGUGGAACUCCAUGUGUAGCGGUGAAAUGCGUAGAUAUAUGGAAGAACACCAGUGGCGAAGGCGGCUCUCUGGUCUGUAACUGACGCCGAGGCUCGAAAGCGUGGGGUAGCAAACAGGAUUAGAUACCCUGGUAGUCCACGCC